GAACUAUUUCUCUGUAUCCUUUUUGUGUUGUGAGUGACAACAGGACGGGGGUGGGCUUCGUGAUGGAGGUUGUUGGCUUUAUGUCUGGCAGGCUAAGACGUGCCACUGCUAAACCAGUGUUUCCAGGGCUUCAUGUGGGCUUACUGGAGGACCGGAGUCGUGGCUCUUAGGCAUAAUAAGUGUUUGUUUUACAGUAGCUGUGACGCAUGCAGUCGCUAGAUGUGAAGUCAGCGAAUUACCAGGGCUGUAAUUUCCUUUCUCACCGGCUCACCUCUACCCGUUCUCUGUGGGUGUCUGACAAACGGUAAUGCCGUGCAUCUUAUCUUGUACGAGUUUGGAAGGCGAGUAGGUGGGACCUUGUAAUUACGACGGUGGCCUGCAGAUCUUUUAGAGAGCUUCCGGCGCAAACAGCCCCUCGCUCCCCUGGAGGUCACACUACCCACGAAACCCGAACGCGACUUCUCCAGAAAACAAGACGUGACGAGAGACUGGAGUUGCAGAUAAAGCGACGUGGGCUGUGUGAUGUGGUGAGGAGGAUGGCAUCGAGUUGCACAGGUUGGCUUAUUUGUGCAACGUGUGCGAGUUCUCUUCUAAUUAUGAGCAGAUGUAAUCAUACUUCAAAACACAUAAACACUGAUGGCAAAGCUGCGUCGCAGAAAAAAAAAAAGGAAAAACAACAACACAGAGCUACGUUGAUUUGCUGAUACUGCACGGUGGUGGGGGCUUUUUGGCUUAUUGGAUACCACAGCCACAAGUUGCAGCAACAUGUGAUGAAGUUGACACAGUUUAGACAACUCAAAUUGCACAUUAAGGGAUUGAGACCUAAAUCAGUUUGCAUAGGAAUGUUUGUAAUGGCAGUUUAUGCUGUAGCUAUACUGGUAAAAUAAUUUGUUGUUCAUAUUGUAAAAGAGCAGGCGGUUAUUUUUGCUAGAAAAAAAACUAAAAAUACGACAAAUAUGCAAACAUUAUCACAAGAAAAUCUGUUAUUAAACAGUAUUAAAGUGAAAAAUAGAUAUAGAGAAACAGAAAAAUAAUAAAAAAUACCAACAACAUUUGAAAGUAGUUGAAUUUAACCUCAAGACGGAACAGAGUUUAACAAACUUUCACUGUAGUUUUUACAAAUACAAUAAAUGCAGCGGAACACUUCUGAGAAAUUAACCUGAUCAUGCAUGGAUGACCAGCAGAAAAACUAAUAAACAACCAGUGUGUUUUUACAUACUUCUUUCUUUUUUUUCUCUGCUACUUUUUACAUCAUUUAUAGACAAAUGGACAUUUUCUGGUUUUAACCCUCAAACUCUUAAAGUAUCUUAAGAUUGUUUUAUGCUGGUGGACUAGUAAACUACAUGAAAUGGUAAGGGGAAUAUCAUUUUACAAGUCAUCAUGGGUAAUCUAGAAAAUUCAUUUGAACUCUUUUAAAAUAAUUUAACCUAUUUAUGACUUAAAUUAGAUGUCUUAGUAAGUCUUACUAAGAUGCUCUCUGUGGCAGAGUGGGCACAUGAAGCCACAGAAGUGCAGAACAUCAAUGUAAAAAUGUUUUGCUUCCUGGUUAGAUGCAAGAAAUAAGGUCGACUUUCAUUGUUGGAAACGGCAACUGUUUGGCUGUUUCGAAAUUUCUUUCUUGGCAUUAUACCAACAACAGGAAGUUUGCAGCUUGUUUAGUACGCUGUCCUUCCACAAGGACACAAUUCUGCAGCUGUCAUUCACUCAUAUGAGCUGAGUAACCGUAAAAAGCCAGUUACUGUUGCCUGAGGCACCAAGAGGCUGUUACCCUGAAGUCACAACAGCUGCUGAAGACAAUCUCUGGCUCCCUGCCAUUAGCAAUGAAAACUUGUAUCAUGAAAGGACACUGGAUGAGUUAUUUGUGACAGGGUGCCCAAUUAACUGUAAUAUUUUGCUUCUUUUUCUGUCCAGAAAAAUAUUUUUGGGAUAUUCAUUGAUCGUGUCGCUCUUAUAGUUCCAUAUAUCUCAAAACGGGUCGCUACAUUUUGAUGCAAAACACUGGAUUGUGAAGCACAGACGUAAAAAAACAAAAUUUCGUGAGGAGUCUACCCCAAACAAACCAAUCGGAUGGCAAUGAAAUACAACACCUUCUACCCUGUAUGGUGUCAUGUGUGUGAGAAAAGAGCUCCAAUCUGCUCCUGCUGUGCUGCCCAGACAAUCCCAACAUAAUCCCUGGAGUCCAGUCCAGGAUUACAGUGUCUGCUCCACCUUCCAUCUUAGCCUUAUAGAAAUUAGUGGACUGUAUAUGAGCUAAAAGCCCAAGAGCUAACACCUCCAUUCUGCAGCUUGUAACAAAACACCAUUUUAAACGUCCUCACAAUUUCCUAGAAAAACCGACUACGCCUAGCAUUUCAUCAGAUUAGGUUCCCCUGGGGUAGAUUUCAAAACAUCAGCUCCGAAAACAACUUUCCUUCCCAACACGUGGCAAUUCUUUAAGACUGAUUCUUUUUACAAUUUUGAUGAUUCAUUUGUUUUCAAGACUUACAACAAAUCUAUUUACACGGAUGUGCUAUGAAAGCAAGAGCUUGUUUGUAGCGAUUUGUCCUUUAAGCUGUCACAUUAUUUACAACCAUCGUGAACUCCUUAUUGUUUCAGAGCUGUUUCAUACUAACCCUGCAGCAGGGUUAGCAACCCUGGAUGUUUUUGACCCACUUUGACAGUAAAUUAUGUUAAGUAGCUUUCCAUAAUCUCACUAAAUCUAUUCAAUAUUUGCUUUGGUUGGGGGUUUUAAUCUGUCAUACUGCGUAAAGAGCUGACUGACCCCAACCAGGAUAAGAAGCAAGAACAAUGAAAAUAUGGAUAAAAAAAGAGCGUCAAAACAAAUACCUGAGAUUUGAGCGCAUUUAUUGCCUUAUUCAUGAUUAAAAGUGAAAAAGUGUAGGUACAUGAGUGCAAAAUCUACUUCUGGUGUAAAACAGAAGUGGUGUAAAAUAGAGAAGGGGGGAACGAGAGAUGGUUUCUCAUCUUUUCAACCACUGCAGGCAAGAAGUGACUUGUGAAGUGAAAGACACAGAUACCAUAUGUGUACAUAUUGUGCUGCAAGUGUUGCAAACGAAACCUUUCUCCAAAUAUAGUUGGACUGAUGGCUACCAUAUGUGAUCCAGCAGCAAAGUUAAAAGCACACUGCAUGGAAGCAUGACUCUAAACAGGAAAUCUGGUCCAUUCAGAGCCGACAGGAAAGAACGGGGGCUACAAAUGUCAAGAGUAAAUCUACACACUUUUACUGUCCAAAUAAAAUGCCACUUUGAGAGUGUAAAAAGUAAAGUCAAUCCUUUUCCUUUCUGGUAUUUCUUAAUAGCAUUUCACCCAACUAGCCUUUGGCAUUCUUUCCUCUCAUUAACAACCAGCCUGGGUCUGUGCAGCGUUGCAUGUGGGGUUUAAGUGAUCCAGACUGACUGAGUGAUUUACAUUUUUGGUUAAAGAUUCAGUGGUCUAGACGCUUUCCCUUGCGGCUUGAUUCAUUUAUUUUUCCAUUUUCUGAAAUUCUGUAAUUUUUGCAAUUGAGUCCAAUUCUGCGAAACGGGAGUUUGCAGAAGUUUAAGUACCGGCAUCAUAGGCAUGGAUUUAGUAAUUAUUUCAACUGUUGUUUUUUUCCCCCAAGAUAGACUGAAUACACAUUAUGGCUGCAGUUAUGUUCCUAAUUACAUAUGGAAAAUUUCUUAAAGGCCAUGAAAGGUGUGGAGAAAAUGAAGCAAGGCCAACUGUACAGCUACAAAGAUGUUCUUACAUCUGUCUAUACUCUGUGAAGAUGUGAAGCAGAUUGGAGUGAUAUUUGUAGUUAGUCAGUCUCAUAUAAAUUUCACAGCAGGGUGCAGGUCAGCCAUCUCUAGUUUAUUACUUCACUUAUGCAGAAAUAGACAAUUUCUCCUUUUCAGACUUAAUGCAAUCAGUGUUCCAGUUUUGUUCAGGAACAUUUAGUUUGGAGAAACACGUCAGUUGUGUUCAUUGGGUCGUCUACACUGUUAAUUUUGUAUAUGUGUGUGUGUGUGAGCAUGUGAGUCUUUGUAUGUUUGUGUAACCCGCUUAGGCACGAUCUUAUUACUGUGUUCAUCCCAGACACCGCUACCUAUUUCCUACGCAGCUGAAUACUGAUCGAGUCACAGGUCUGAAUUGAAUUUACUUGCUUAUGUUCCUCCUUUAAAAGCUGGGUAAUGUAUUUUCAGAAUGUACUGAGUGGGGAAAAACUCACUAAAUACGAUCCAAGAAUAAGGAAUCCAAAUGAGAAAUGCUCACGUUUAAAACCACUUUAGUCAUUUGCACAAAACCUGUACUGGGUGAGCUUAUUUUUUGCUUGUGUUCUUUUGUUCUUGUGUAUAUUAGUUUUGUAAAUCAUUAUAGUUUUAGUUAUUUUUUUGCUGGUAAAAAUAAGACCCUGGUUCUACAUUCUGUUUCGGAUUCUCUGCUAUUGAGAAGCGAUUGCUCGCUGGAGGCAAGCAAUCGCUUAAAUUUCCCGUGCUAUGAAGCUUACCCAAAGUUGUGUGCGCUGUAAGCAAAGUUAAUUCAAUACGAAAUCAAUUUCGUCAUUAAUGACCCCUUCUAUUUGCUGACUGGCCCAGUUAAAAUUCAACCAAAAGAUAUUGAGCUCAAUGGGAGAAAUCCCAGACGGGAUGAAAGGUGGAUGAAAAUCACUGCGCAGGAAGGUAAUGCCAGAGUUAAUCAGAUGAUGAUUGGAGCUAAAACAAUACUUUUCAAUUCGUAUUAAUGGAAAUGUUUAAUAAUCUGUUUUUGUCCACUUCUCAAUUCUACACCGCUUUGUGGGGUCGAUCAAAAAAUACACAUGUAGAAUACAAAUUGACAUUUGUGGUUGUAAUAUAAACUAAAUGUUUUAGUGAUGUGAUGUGAAUAAUUUUGCAAGGUACUCUUUGUGAUGGUAAAGCUGUUUUGCAUCUGAGAUCCUCACGCUAAAGUAUUCACCUUUUACACCAGUGCUUCCAUAAACCCUCCUAGCAAGCAGGUGUACCCAGCACUUCAGGUGAUGACGGAACACCGUCGCAAACUGAUGGCUGCCAUUUAUUUCACAGGUGGCAGGUCUAGAUCUAAAUAAUGUACAUUGGAUCCUCUGAGGCUUUUAUGCCACACCCCCUUUCUCUCCGUUUCUAUCUUAGGCCCUUCUCCUGGCUGACUUGUGUCACCUGCCUCUGCACAGAUGUAUGCAGAACCAAAAGGACAGAAUGCGGCUUUAGCUUCGCUUCCUGUCACAUCUGUGGUACGCUUUCCGAGAGCAUCUGCAGAAGGACUUGUUGCCUCUGAAAGCUGCGUGGGCUGAAGAGGCUGAGGGCAGGACCCAUGCACAGACCCACGUGUUGAACACGCGACGACAAACAAACAGACCCACACAGACAUGUGUAUGCAAUUUAUCUAAUUAGAUUAGAAGCUGUUUGGGUGGGUGGGGGAUGAAAAUCUGCUUCAUGAAAACAUACUGAGUGAUCUGAAGUCCAAGCAACAAGAGGUUCUUAUGGAACCGAGCCAAUAGCGACGCAUCCCUGCUGCAGAUUGACUGGCUCAUUCUGAACUUCACUGAGUAAACUCUUUCAUUCUGUCAGUAAAUAUUUUAUACUGCGGGCAGAUGAGCAUGUGAUGAGUAAAAUCUUACAUAAACACAUUUGCCUGCUCUGAAGGACCUCAGGUUUUCAAACUGCAUCUCAAAGAGGAAGAGUAAAAUGAAGGAAUGAAUGCCGAAAAGAGAAAUAAUGCUGUUAUCUUUGGUAAAAGUCUAGGAAAAAUGCAAAGAAAGUAGAGUCGUUUAUUUAUCAGGAAAACUAAGUUAAACAAAUAAAAAUUGCAAUUAAAAAGAGAAAAUGUUGAUGACCAUUUUUGACAGAUUUUUUGAAGCCUUCUAUAUAAAUGUUAUCUGACAUUUCCUCUUUGGACCUUCCUACAAAAUACACAUUCAUCAUGAGAAAACAUAUGCAAAUGUAAAAACAUCAGAAAAACCAAUGCGCCUGUCAUCCCACACUUUCACAUUGUAAUAAGGAUUCUCUAUCUUAAUGAAUGUACAAACACAAACACAUAUUGUUCUGGGAAAAAAAAA